rnacentral:rRNA from 1 species
GAUUAUGGCUCAGGAUGAACGCUAGCGGCAGGCUUAACACAUGCAAGUCGAGGGGCAGCGCGAGUAGCAAUACUUGGCGGCGACCGGCGCAAGGGUGCGUAACGCGUGAGCAACAUGCCCGUAUCAGGGGGAUAAUCCAGGGAAACUUGGUCUAAUACCCCAUAGUAAUUUUGUAAGGCAUCUUAUAAGAUUUAAAGCUUUGGUGGAUACGGAUUGGCUCGCGUGACAUUAGCUGGAUGGUAAGGUAACGGCUUACCAUGGCUAUGAUGUCUAGGGGUUCUGAGAGGAAGGUCCCCCACACUGGAACUGAGACACGGUCCAGACUCCUACGGGAGGCAGCAGUGAGGAAUAUUGGACAAUGGAUGGAAAUCUGAUCCAGCCAUGCCGCGUGAAGGAAGAAGGUCCUAUGGAUUGUAAACUUCUUUUGUAUGGGAGCAAUAAGGCCUACGAGUAGGUUGAUGAGAGUACCAUACGAAUAAGCACCGGCUAACUCCGUGCCAGCCGCGGC